GCAUCUCAAAGAAUUUCUCAGUUGCUUUUCUGUCAUCCCUGAGUCCAAAUUACAACUGUCAAUUAUACAUGAAAGGUCUUGGCCCUUGGCAUAUGAGAGUACUGAUCAUCAAAUAUUACAUCCCACUCAAAAUGCUGUCUUGAGAAAUUGUUACGGGCGAGUUGCAUUACAGAAUGUGGCUUAAGUGAUGGUCAUAAAUAGCAGCAGAGACAGGUUGGGGCAGAUAUUCCACUGAUACAAACUCUUAGAUCCCUGCUGGAAUCAGUGCAUCAAUGGGAUGGUGGCAGCCUGUACCAAGCAGAGGUCUGCCACAGCAUCUGCAGAAAGAUGAGAGAGAUGCCAUGCAGAAAAACAAACCCCACCGAAGUUCUGGAGGGGUAGGAAUCAUGAGACUCACGGGAUUAUCUCAGAAGACGUCAGUAGCUGGAGUGAUCUAUUGUCUGGAACAGCAGUGCUCAUCUCUUCACAAUUUCAUGAAGUCAAAAAGGAGUCUAUGGUGGAUCACCGUCAUCCUCACUGAGCUGAAGAGAGUGGCCUGGUUCCUUCAUGUUGCUUACAUCUCUCAUUCCUCUUCUAGGAAGAGUUGA
rnacentral:lncRNA from 1 species